rnacentral:lncRNA from 1 species
UAGAAGAUGGUGACUCUCCUGACGGAUGACAGCCUGACACUGUGGGAGAGGCCAUGAAAGUCACCCCUCUGACAGGAUUAAGCAGAAAAGACACCCACAGGCCACAGCAGGGUCUAUUAUAGGAAUAUCACCAUGGCAGGUAGAAACGCCGAGGACCCAAGACUCCUACCAUCAUCUCAAGCUAGCCUGCUAGCUGGCUCCCCCCUUCCAACAGGGUCCCCGGCUGUGGAGAGGACACCAGGAGUGACAGGCUUCAACCACUGCCCCCACCUUUGGGCUGGGACUGUCUGGAGGAACCGUGAUGCUAGAUGGAACAAUAUCCAGCAAAAGACAGCCCUUAAGUAACUGUGGAGAGCUGGAGUGGCAACCCUGCACCUAUGAUCCCACGUCACCGAGACUGGACCUCAGUAUGCACCCCUCUUCAGAGGAAAGCAGACCCUCUGUUCCCCAUUUCUGUUAGGGAAUUCAAAUUACUUUAUCUGAUCUG